rnacentral:rRNA from 1 species
CGAGAAAGCCCGCAAGGGUGAGUAAAGCGGCGCACGGGUGCGUAACACGUGGGUAAUCUGCCCUGAAGUCCGGAAUAACUCGCCGAAAGGCGUGCUAAUGCCGGAUGAGACCACGGGAGCCUCGGCUCCUGCGGGAAAAGGUGGCCUCUGUAUACAAGCUAUCGCUUCAGGAUGAGCCCGCGGCCCAUCAGCUCGUUGGCGGGGUAAUGGCCCACCAAGGCUACGACGGGUAGCUGGUCUGAGAGGACGAUCAGCCACACUGGAGCUGAGACACGGUCCAGACUCCUACGGGAGGCAGCAGUGGGGAAUCUUGCGCAAUGGGCGAAAGCCUGACGCAGCAACGCCGCGUGUGUGAUGAAGGUCUUCGGAUCGUAAAGCACUGUCGCGAGGGACG